GCCGGAGCCUUGCUCAGUUUGGUUAAAGCGCCUGUCUAGUAAACAGGAGAUCACGAGUUCGAAUCUCGUCGGUU
rnacentral:tRNA from 1 species